GAGGACCGCCGGGUCAGGAGAAGAAUGAUCGUGCUGAUGCUGACCCUGAUGGAAGUGGAUCUAAAGACCAGGUCACUGUUACACAUACAACGCGAGUACAACAGCUUCAUGGACUGCAAGAAAAUCAUCAAACUACUCACAAGAAAUCAUGUUAUUCUUUAGGUUUUUCUUUGUAAUCUAACUUUUUAACUAAUGGUAUGAAUGGUGGUUGUAAAGGGUUCAUUUGCUCAUUGAAUUAUUCCCCUUUUGUUAACAGUAUGAGAGAUAGAUUUGUCUAGUUUUCUAUUUAUCAAUAACUUUGGAAGUCAUCACAUUUAACAUCUAGUGUGUUGACCACAAUGUGCAAUGUUACUGGUAAUGGCAUUUUCUUAACAAUGAUGAGUGUAUUUUGUUCAUUUGAAAUACAUUUUUAUUAAAUGAAGUGUGAAUAAUCUAAAUUUAAUAUAUGGACUGUAAAGCAAACUGUGAUAGAGAAGUAUUCUAUGAGGUGCAAUUGUUACAAAAAUGUUUUGUGAGUAUUGUCAACCAUCAAGCUAAGUCAAGUCAGCAGAAAUUGACGAUUCUGAGGUUUGACAUUAAUUAAGGGGCUGUUGUACUUGGCCUUCGCCUUUUGCCACUGAUAUUGUAUGAAUUUAUCUGUCUUUAAGUACUCUAGUAAAAUGGUGCAGGGAAAAACUGACUGAUAGAAAAAAAUUGUGUGUCUGCCAAUUUUUUAAUGUUCUCAAGGAUUAGGAAUGUAGCUUUUUAGUAAGAACAGAUGUUUUCGUGAAUAAAUAUUUGAUGGAUUUUGAAUAGCAUGUACUGUUUAGUAGUAAUCUUGUGAAGUUCUCAACUUGUAUCAUUCCAAAGCCUUGUACUUGAAGGAUAUUUUGUAUUUUGCAUAUAAUGUGACAGCACUGUUUACAUCUACUUCCUAUUUAAUAAAAUAAGUG
rnacentral:misc_RNA from 1 species